rnacentral:rRNA from 1 species
AAUAUUUCACAAUGGGCGCAAGCCUGAUGCAGCAACGCCGCGUGCGCGACGAAGGCCUUCGGGUCGUACAACGCUUUUCGGGGAGAUGAGCACGGACAGUAACCCCGGAAGAAGGAACGGCUAACUUCGAUCCAGCAGCCGCGGUAAAACGUAGGAUCCGAGCGUUAACCGAAUUCACUGGGCUUAAAGCGCAUGCAGGCGGCCGCACAAGUUGGAUGUGAAAUCUCCCGGCUCAACUGGGAGGGGACGUUCAAAACUGUGCGGCUCGAGGGCGGUAGAGGAAGGUAGAAUUCCCGGUGUAGUGGUGAAAUGCGUAGAUAUCGGGAGGAAUACCCGUGGCGAAGGCGACCUUCUGGACCGUUUCUGACGCUCAGAUGCGAAAGCUAGGGGAGCGAACGGG